rnacentral:lncRNA from 1 species
UUUGCACGUGAAAAAACUGAAAAUGAAGCCCCCGAAGUAAGAAACGACAGAGGGAGUGUCAUUUUAACUAAACUCCUCAAUCCAAAAGGCUUCAAAGCUUAAAGAAGCGUAAAUUUCUAUAUGCAGUAAUUUCCAUGGAGGCCACAGAAAUCAAAAAUUGUAAGGAAAAAUGGUGAUCACAAAUCUCUUGUUUAGUGGACAAAAGUAAUAAAAAUACUGGAUACAUAAUAUAUACGUAUCUUAUCCACCUCAGAAUCCUUUACAAAACCAUUACCAGACUAUGAAGGUCGCUGCUACACCAACAAAAGAGCGGUUAUCUAUGUCACUAAUUACGCUAAGACACAAUGCGUCCGAAGGGAUAUCUUGAACGAUACACCUCUCUUGCCAGCCUCAUGGGGAGGUGGAGAAAAUGAGAAAACCCUUGAGCAUGAGACUGUUAUAUUUGUUCAACUAUUUUUUCAGUAAUUGAGAAUACUUCCUUAGUGCUUGCAAUCUUAGGAGGAUUGCUGAGAGGAUUGCAUCUCAGAUGACAGAAUUCAAUUUCAUCAUGGACUCUAUCUUAAGCUUCCAGAUCUCUGAUGUUUUGGUUUAGUUGAAGCUACAAGCUUUUGUAUGACUUUCAAUGCUACCUCAAAAAUAUUCUAUAUCAAACAAGAAAGUCAUUCAAGUGUGCCCCUUUUGAUUUUUAAUCUUAGCCAAGGGAUAGUGUCAAGUCUCCAGCGGUGCUUCGGUUCAGCACAUCAUGUAAUCCGUUAGGGAAAUAUCAACUGCUCUACAUAUGCUACUAGACUUGUGAUUCCUACGUGGCUAAGAAAACACUUUGGUUUCAUUAAAUUAUGGGUAGAGAUUUAAUCAAUUAUUCGGUCAAAUGUCUUAUUAUCCAUUCACCUUUAAUUGCCCCCUAUAAUUUAUUAUUGAAUAUUUUAAUAAAUUUUGUUGCAUCACCACGUCCAACAAAAUAGAAUACAUAAAUGAUAAAAGGCCUCUUCUUAAUAAAGAAGUGAACCUGAGAUGUGAAAUGAUCAUUGGUACCCAUAAACAACAGUCUUUAUUACUGUAUCAGACAUUC